rnacentral:rRNA from 1 species
GUUGAACGCUGGCGGCGUGCUUAAGACAUGCAAGUCGAACGGCAGUCUUCGGACUGUAGUGGCGCACGGGUGAGUAACGCGUAACUGACCUACCCCAAAGUCGCGGAUAACGAUUCGAAAGAAUCGCUAAUACGUGAUGUGCUGUCAGAUUGUGUUCUGCCAGUAAAGAUUGAUUGCUUUGGGAUGGGGUUGCGUUCCAUCAGCUAGUUGGUGGGGUAAAGGCCCACCAAGGCGACGACGGAUAGCCGGCCUGAGAGGGUGGCCGGCCACAGGGGCACUGGGACACAGGUCCCACUCCUGCGGGAGGCAGCAGUUAGGAAUCUUCCACAAUGGGCGAAAGCCUGAUGGAGCGACGCCGCGUGAGGGAUGAAGGUCUUCGGAUCGUAAACCUCUGAAUCAGGGACGAAAGACACUUCGGUGGGAUGACGGUACCUGAGUAAUAGCACCGGCUAACUCCGUGCCAGCCGCCGCUGUAACAC